rnacentral:rRNA from 1 species
GAUAAACGCUGGCGGCGUGCAUAACACAUGCAAGUCGAACGAAGUGGCGAACGGGUGAGUAACACGUGAGUAACCUGCCUUACACAAGGGGAUAGCCUUUGGAAACGAAGAAUAAUACCCUAUAGGGUAAGAUGGAUUUGCGUCUGAUUGGGUAGUUGGUGAGAUAAAGGCCCACCAAGGCAACGAUCAGUAGCCGGCUUGAGAGAGUGUACGUCCACAGUGGGACUGAGACACGGCCCAAACUCUACGGGAGGCAGCAGUGGGGAAUUUUGCACAAUGGGGGAAACCCUGAUGCAGCGACGCCGCGUGAUUUAGAAGGCCUUCGGGUUGUAAAAAUCUUUUAUAUGGGAAGCGGUACCAUAAGAAAAAGCCCCGGCUAACUACGUGCCAGCAGCCGCGGUAAUUC